CCUACGGGCGGCAGCAGUGAGGAAUAUUGGUCAAUGGCCGGAAGGCUGAACCAGCCAUGCCGCGUGAAGGUCAGUGCCCUAUGGGCGUUAAACUUCUUUUGUGCGGGAGCAAUAAUGGUCACGUGUGGCCAGACGAGAGUACCGUACGAAUAAGCAUCGGCUAACUCCGUGCCAGCAGCCGCGGUAAUACGGGGGAUGCAAGCGUUAUCCGGAUUUAUUGGGUUUAAAGGGUGCGUAGGCUGGGAGGUAAGUCAGCGGUGAAAUGCCCCCGCUCAACGGGGUGAAGUGCCAUUGAUACUGCCUGGCUGGAAUGCGGAUGCCGUGGGAGGAAUGUGUGGUGUAGCGGUGAAAUGCAUAGAUAUCACACAGAACACCGAUUGCGAAGGCAUCUCACGAAUCCGCGAUUGACGCUGAUGCACGAAAGCGUGGGUAUCAAACAGGAUUAGAUACCCUUGUAGUC
rnacentral:rRNA from 1 species